rnacentral:misc_RNA from 1 species
AGCGACACGCCGAAUUCUCCUUGUUUCGCAUCCGGGCAGGGUGCGUAUAGUUUUAAGGGCUGCUACUCGCAGGCUGGUGCGUGUUUCUCUCUCUCUCUCUGACGUUCCGGUGGAUGUGUUGCCUCGUCUGUGCGAGUGGACGGAUCGCCUUGUCCGCCCUCUCUCGUUCUCUCCUCCUCUCUUCCGCGCUGAAUUCAUCGAGGCACCAAAAGGAUACACGCAAACAAGCUCUUUUACAGCGUCAAGGAGGGCAGCAACUUCGUUCCCCAUCGCGAUCAUGGAAAUCUCAUUCAGCGCUGCGUUCAAUACCGCAGAGGCGCACCGAAUGGCGGAGGGACGGCGCCGCUUUUACCCCUCUGCCUGCGCACUCAACCCGUCCUGCACCGUCGCUGUCCUGUCGACUGUGGCGGGUGCCAGGGCAUAUAAGCUCAUGACGGCGUGCGAGCAGCGCGGGGGGGCAGUGGUGCAGCCGCUGCACCCCCGCCCUCCUUCCACCGCCGCGGUAUCUUCUGAACCCACCUCGGACAGUGCUGGCAGUGCCGAUGGUGCUGCCCCGCCUACCGCGCUCUGGCGCACGCCCGUAUACACGGCGACAAUGGCUGGCGACAGUGCCCUUGUCGCUGUCGUGUUUCGAGCUCGUCCACCGGUGUUUGUGCCGUCCACGGUAGCCGUGACACGAGUGGACGAGGGGCAGAGUCACGAUGCUGAAGCCGCGCCACCGGCGAGCAGCAGUAGCAACAGCGGCUCUGGCGUUGGCGCAGACGCCGCUGCUUCGUCACCUGGUGACGAGGAGCUGCCCGAGUCGCCUAUGCCAGCAGAAGACCCAGCCAACGUCUCGGCCCUCGUAGCCGCUGAGGCUGAGUGCCGACGCUAUGUAUACCUGUUCGACGCUACCAGUGGCACUUGCCUAGCCGCGCUGCACUUCUGCGGGUCACCGGUGCUGGCGCUGAGGGCGAACUCGUCUGUCCUCCUCGUGGCAGCUGUUGACCUCUUUCACCUCGUCGACCUCCGCACUUUGCGGUAUAUUCGACAGCAGAGCAUGUACAAACCUCUGAACCCACGUGGAGUGCUGGACCUCUCGGCGGCGGUGCCGUCGCGGAAGGCGGGCGGUGGCACAUCGUACGCCGUCGCCUUCCCUCAAUCUGCACGCGGGUACGGUGGUGAUGUGACGGUGCUAACGCUACAUUGUGUACCGUCUACAUCACGCCGACAAGCGCAAACAGGAGACGGUGGCAGGCAGGCCUCGGGGGUGUCCGCAGCCGUCGGCCCUGGGCGAACUUCCCUAAGCACCACGGCGGCAGCGGCCAAUGCGACGACCAGUGGCGCCUUUGGUGCUGCCACGCCGCCCAUGGAGCAGCGCACCAUCCCAGCGCAUCACCAUGCCGUGACACAUCUGCGUUUUCGCCCAGAUGGUCGACUGCUGGCCACCGCCUCGGAGCUUGGCACAACCGUGAAGCUCUUUGACAGUCUUACUGGUGCGUUGCUGGUAGAGCUACAGCGGGGCCACCGCCCUGCCGCGGUGCUCUCGCUCGCGGUGCAGCAAGACGCGCACCGGAUCGCCGCCCUCAGCGCCAAUGGAACGCUACACGUCUUCGACUGCGCAGCCAUCGUUCAAUCCUGGGAGUCGGCGAGGGAGGCAAGGGUUUCGUCAUCGCUUCCUGCUCACGGUGCGCGCUCGCCUACGGUGAUUGGCGGCGCUGCAGGAGCGAGCAAAGUACGAGCUGAGUGCAAGCACAAGGUGAACUUGAUGCCUCACCCAGCUGCGAGCGCCAGUGCUGCCUCGGCGAAAUCUACUCCGCGGCGACUGGGUAGCGCCGUGAUGGCAGCUGCAGCUGGGUCAUCCAGGGCCAACUAUUCCAGCUCCUAUGCAGAGAGCAGCAGUGCCCCGCCAGGUGCGGGGGCAGCCGCCAACGACGGGUGGCUGCACUGCGAGAGCGGCUUUGCCGCCGACGGAAGAACAGUUUGGGUGGCGCAAGUGCAGUCUACGGAGGUGCAGCUGCAACACGCCGCUUCGACAGCGCCGUCGAAAUCUGCGACGCCAUCGCCACGGCUCUGCGUGGGAAGUCUCACGUGCUUUCCGUUGCCGUCGCCUAACCGCGGCCGCUCAGGUGGCACCGUUUCGCCUGCCGAUAAAGGAGAGGAAGGAUGCCACUACGUCGUCGUGUAGCGAGCCCUGCAUGCAUGCAUCAAUCAUCGCGGCAGCGGUGCCGCGAUGCUGGUCUUAACCACUCUGCUUUCUUCCUGUGUCCGCGCGCUCCGCGUUGGCUGUUUCGUAUGUUUCCUUGCCUUUGUCACGCUCUUGUUUUCUUCGUUCGUUUUGUCCCCAUCCUACCCGCCCCCCCCCCUCAUGUGCUUGCCCAACUCUACCGCCCUCUCCCCACCCCUCGCACCACACCCCCAUUAGCCUUGGCUACUACCACUUUUUGAAGCUUUCGAUAUGCAUCUCGAGUGUCUUGCGGAUACCACCGAGCAAGUGGUGCAGCCAUGACCCACGUGCACGCCCACGCCACGAGCCACGCGCGCUUGCCUUUUCUGUUGGCUGCGUGCGGUGCUUGGUUUUGUUUGGCCUACCUCACGAUGCUGUUGUGGGUCGGUACGGGUAGUGGCACGCCGCCGUGGCGAGAUUCGUGGCUGUACUCCUCUCUCUGCGUCUAC